CACGGCUCAUAUAUGUGCUUCCGACUAAUCCAGCUUCUUUUGGUCUAGCUGGGCAUUACUUUGAGUUCAUAUAUGUGCUUGUCACUCCAUAGGUCAUGUGCUUGUCACUUCAUAGGUUAUAGUUUUGCUGUGAACCUAGGCGUGCUAUGUGGGGAAGCAAAGCAGCAGCUCACAACUCCGGCCUGCAACUCCAGAUGAAGGCACUCCGACGAUGCAUCAUGCUACUCCCUUGGAAGGGCUUCCUAGUCCGUGGCCUGCCUUCUGGAUGGAGCAAGGAGGGGGCAUCAUCCACACCGCAGAGCUGGUUG